CAGUAGCCGCGGUAAUACGUAGGUGGCAAGCGUUGUCCGGAAUUAUUGGGCGUAAAGGGCUCGCAGGCGGUUUCUUAAGUCUGAUGUGAAAGCCCCCGGCUCAACCGGGGAGGGUCAUUGGAAACUGGGAAACUUGAGUGCAGAAGAGGAGAGUGGAAUUCCACGUGUAGCGGUGAAAUGCGCAGAGAUAUGGAGGAACACCAGUGGCGAAGGCGACUUUCUGGUCUGUAACUGACGCUGAUGUGCGAAAGCGUGGGGAUCAAACAGGAUUAGAUACCCUGUAGUCCCUGUCUCUUAUACA
rnacentral:rRNA from 1 species